GAGGACAUUCACCUUCCGAAUGGAGAGACAGCUAACAAAAGCUCCAAUCAGCCGAACAGGAACCAUACGAAAUCCUUCACGUAUCAAACAGCCGAACGAGUAAACCAUACAAAUCCAAUACCCCCAAGUACGAGACCAAGCUCCGAAUUGAGGGUUAAGCAGAGAUCUGAUUUAAUGUGGGCUACCUGCCCGGUAUUUAUGCAGGCUUUCCACC